rnacentral:rRNA from 1 species
GAUGAACGCUGGCGGCGUGCUUAACACAUGCAAGUCGAACGGUGAAGCAGGAGCUUGCUCUUGUGGAUCAGUGGCGAACGGGUGAGUAACACGUGAGCAACCUGCCCCUGACUCUGGGAUAAGCGCUGGAAACGGCGUCUAAUACUGGAUAUGUGAUGUGACCGCAUGGUCUGCAUCUGGAAAGAAUUUCGGUUGGGGAUGGGCUCGCGGCCUAUCAGCUUGUUGGUGAGGUAAUGGCUCACCAAGGCGUCGACGGGUAGCCGGCCUGAGAGGGUGGCCGGCCACACUGGGACUGAGACACGGCCCAGACUCCUACGGGAGGCAGCAGUGGGGAAUAUUGCACAAUGGGCGGAAGCCUGAUGCAGCAACGCCGCGUGAGGGAUGACGGCCUUCGGGUUGUAAACUUCUUUUAGCAGGGAAGAAGCGAAAGUGACGGUACCUGCAGAAAAAGCACCGGCUAACUACGUGCCAGCAGCCGCGGUAA